GCGCUGACUUCAGCAGCACAUGCACUAAAAUUGAAACAAUACAGAGAUUAGCAUGGCCCCUGCUCAAGGAUGUCACGCAAAUUUGUGAAGUGUUCCAUAUUUUU